GAUGCUGCAGCCGUUGAAACGGCAUAGGCUUGAAAAGCUGAAUUUGUUGGCUCGAAUCCAAUCAGCAUCG
rnacentral:tRNA from 1 species